GGAGGGGUGGCUGAGUUGGUUGAAGGCGUCGCUCUCGAAAAGCGAUAUGGUCCUUUGGGCUAUCGUGGGUUCGAAUCCCACCCCCUCCG
rnacentral:tRNA from 1 species